GGGACACGUGGUAUCCUGUCUGAAUAUGGGGGGACCAUCCUCCAAGGCUAAAUACUCCUGACUGACCGAUAGUGAACCAGUACCGUGAGGGAAAGGCGAAAAGAACCCCGGCGAGGGGAGUGAAAAAGAACCUGAAACCGUGUACGUACAAGCAGUGGGAGCACGCUUAGGCGUGUGACUGCGUACCUUUUGUAUAAUGGGUCAGCGACUUAUAUUCUGUAGCAAGGUUAACCGAAUAGGGGAGCCGAAGGGAAACCGAGUCUUAACUGGGCGUUAAGUUGCAGGGUAUAGACCCGAAACCCGGUGAUCUAGCCAUGGGCAGGUUGAAGGUUGGGUAACACUAACUGGAGGACCGAACCGACUAAUGUUGAAAAAUUAGCGGAUGACUUGUGGCUGGGGGUGAAAGGCCAAUCAAACCGGGAGAUAGCUGGUUCUCCCCGAAAGCUAUUUAGGUAGCGCCUCGUGAAUUCAUCUCCGGGGGUAGAGCACUGUUUCGGCAAGGGGGUCAUCCCGACUUACCAACCCGAUGCAAACUGCGAAUACCGGAGAAUGUUAUCACGGGAGACA
rnacentral:rRNA from 1 species